GAGAAACCCUAAACUGCAAAAUCGUGUCAUUGUAGUAUGAAAAUUAGAUGCUAGAUCUGGAACAAAUUUGGGUUUGCAGAGAGAACAAACUCCCUUUGGAUCCUGCUGUUGUUGCUCCUGCUGUUGAUGUUGUUGAUUAUAUCUCAUCCUAAAAUCUUAAACCCGUUUCGGAUCCGGUUGUUAAGUUCAAGAGUCUAAUGGAAGGACUGUAGUCAAAGGACUGGCUAAAGAUUUGCGAUUCGUUGAACGAUGUGAGGCGACUGGCAUUGUUCCACUCUGAGCUCCUGCUACCGAUCUUGAAAAGGUUGUCAUGGUUUUAGUGAAAUCAAUGAAGAAUCCAAGAAGUGCUUAAUGCAAGACUGCAGUCAUGGCUGCUUCUGAUCUUUUCAACAAGUUCUAUGAAUUCGGUUUUGCAUCCACAUUAUGGAACAUUAAAAUCAUACUAUGAGACACUCCCAGAUUCAGAUUUAAAGAAAUUAUGUGAUGAAGGUUGGUAGUGUGGCGGAGUAGGCACAUGAGGAAAUAAUCCAUGUAUAGGUUGGGAAUUGUGACUCGUUUGUAGCAAAAUCAGCUUUGGUAACUACCUAAUAUGGAUGUUGUGCAUGCCCGGUUCUGUUUUUAGCAAUUGAUAUCCGGGAACAGCUACGGUCAGGCUAUGGUAUGUCUUAUGUGUGAGAGAUUUUCUUAUCACAAUUAUAGAAAGGUAAUGUCAAGUCUUACUCUAACAGGUCAAGUGGAACGGGAGUCGUCCAAAUUGUGUCUUUAAUGAAUAAACCAACUAACUCGCUUAACGUGUUGUUUUGGGUGCACUUAACAGGUUCGUGGGUGACAUGUUUAGCCCGUUUAAUUUUUAUAAACAAAUAAAAUUAUUUUUAUAACAAUUUUUAAAAGAUAAAAAGAGAACUGAAGGGUGAUGUGAUACUUCUACCUGCAAAUGAAUGCAGUUAGAAUUUAUAGGAGGGUGUUAUUGCAGUUCUUUCAGCCCCCAGACUUGGAACAGAUGGAAAUGGAAUUAAGAUUGGAGAAGAAAUGCACAGAGGAGUUAGAUGACGCACUCAUGAGGUCGAUUAAUGGUCAUGGUAGAAUGGUGGAACAUUAUGCUGAUUUGCAGGAAGAAGUAUAAUGAACUGAUUUGCAGGAAGAUGUAUUAAAUUACUUGAAUUAAUAAUUAUACACAGGGCCGGCUCAAGGGGGAGUGAAAUAAAGCAAUCGCUUUAGGCCUCCACUUCCUUAGAGCCUCAAAUUUUAAAGAAAACAUAUUAUAUGUAGGUGAUUUUGACUUUAAAAUUGUUGACGUUGAGAUUUAUGAUAUAUAAGAUGGUGUAUGAAUCAUAGGUUCAAAAGCAAUUAUUUUUUCUUUUAUUUUUUUACGAAAAGGGCCUCAAUUUUGUUUUCCCCUUCGGGCCUACAAUAUUUUGAGCCGGCCCUGAUUAUAUACUCAGUUAUAGCAUAUAAAACUUAGUUGUUAUUUUGUAGAUAAAGUGUAGGAAGUGUGGAGGCAAAUCACUACAUGAAAAAGGGCAGUGAUAAGUUUUGAUUCGUUAAAUGGACUGCAUAUAUUCAAGUUGUUUAAAUGGUUACAAGUUUUGAUUCGAUAAAUGGACUGUAGAUAAGUGUCUCUUUCUUCCAAAACUAUUUUUGGUGUUACAAGUUUAGAUUACGAUGUUUUGCAUUUGGCUUGGACUGUAGAUAUUCAAGUUGUUUAAAUGGUUCUUUCAUGUGGUGUUGAUGGUUCAUGUUCAACUUUGAGAUAUCCUAUGACCCACAUGGCCCAUGGCAUAUAACCCGUGGUUCGUAAAUCGUUUCAGAUAUCAUUUCAGUGAGUAUGUUCUUUAAUUGUGUGUAUAUGUAUAAGAUGGUUAUGCGUGUAAUUGGUUCGGUACCGAUGAGUGUAACAGUUGAUAGAGGUUAAAGGAGGGGGAUGGUUUUGAUAAAUUAAAUGUGAGAAUUGAGAUUAUGGCUGCAAUAAACAGUUUAACCAUAACAGUUUGGAAUUGCAAAUGACUAGCUACAGAAAUGAAGACGAAUCCGUAGACCAUGAUUUCACUUGUCUUACAGCCGCGAAAGUUUGGCAGCACAUCAGCUCCUGGCGCAAAUCACUCAGAUGCAUUUCUCCUCCGUUAAAGAUAUAUUUGACUGUCGUAACCUCUUACCGGAUCAAAGCAAAAAGAGACGCCUCAUGCAAGUGAUUUUGUUGAUCUCUUGCUGGUAUAUUUGAUGGGCCAGGAACAGGUGUAUAUUAUCGAAUGAACCGAUAAAGAUUGAUACUAUUUUGGGGGAGACCAAUUCUUGUAGUUACUUGUGGAUUUGCAAUCAGUCAAAGAAGUUGGCUCUAGAUUGGACCAACUGGAAGUGUUUUGAUGUGUAAUUUUGUUUGUUAGCUGUAGUUGUUUUGCCUUGCAUUAGGUUGGUUUCUAAUGAAAGUCGUCGUUUGAAAAAGAAAUUGUUUGGAUAAUGGCUGCAAAAAAACAUGUGUAGGCUAUUUUGAACCAUAAUAAUUGAGCAUGUUGUUUCGAACCAA